GACGAACGCUGGCGGCGUGCCUAAUACAUGCAAGUUGAGCGCUGAAGGUUGGUACUUGUACCAACUGGGUGAGCAGCGAACGGGUGAGUAACGCGUGGGUAAUCUGCCUUUGAGCGGGGGACAACAUUUGGAAACGAAUGCUAAUACCGCAUAAAAACUUUAAACACAAGUUUUAAGUUUGAAAGAUGCAAUUGCAUCACUCAAAGAUGAUCCCGCGUUGUAUUAGCUAGUUGGUGAGGUAAAGGCUCACCAAGGCGAUGAUACAUAGCCGACCUGAGAGGGUGAUCGGCCACAUUGGGACCGAGAAACGGCCCAAACUCCUACGGGAGGCAGCAGUAGGGAAUCUUCGGCCAUGGACGAAAGUCUGACCGAGCAACGCCGCGUGAGUGAAGAAGGUUUUCGGAUCGUAAAACUCUGUUGGUAGAGAAGAACGUUGGUGAGAGUGGAAAGCUCAUCAAGUGACGGUAACUACCCAGAAAGGGACGGCUAACUACGUG
rnacentral:rRNA from 1 species